rnacentral:tRNA from 1 species
GUAGAUAUAGUUUAACAAAAACAUUAGAUUGUGAUUCUAAAAACAGAGGUUAAAAACCUCUUAUCCACC